AAGAGAUUAGUUAAAAUCAAUAACAUUAGUAUGUCAAACUAAAAUUACCAAUAUAAUUGUACCUCUUA
rnacentral:tRNA from 1 species